AGAGUAUGAAAUUCAAAGGAAAGCUUCUAACUUACCCUUCUAGCAGUGAAAUUCUGUUAAUACUCUU
rnacentral:tRNA from 1 species